rnacentral:rRNA from 1 species
GAUGAACGCUGGCGGCGUGCUUAACACAUGCAAGUCGAACGAAGCACUUUAUUUGAUUUCCUUCGGGACUGAUUAUUUUGUGACUGAGUGGCGGACGGGUGAGUAACGCGUGGGUAACCUGCCUUGUACAGGGGGAUAACAGUUGGAAACGGCUGCUAAUACCGCAUAAGCGCACAGCAUCGCAUGAUGCAGUGUGAAAAACUCCGGUGGUAUAAGAUGGACCCGCGUUGGAUUAGCUAGUUGGUGAGGUAACGGCCCACCAAGGCGACGAUCCAUAGCCGACCUGAGAGGGUGACCGGCCACAUUGGGACUGAGACACGGCCCAAACUCCUACGGGAGGCAGCAGUGGGGAAUAUUGCACAAUGGGCGAAAGCCUGACGCAGCGACGCCGCGUGAGCGAAGAAGUAUUUCGGUAUGUAAAGCUCUAUCAGCAGGGAAGAUAAUGACGGUACCUGACUAAGAAGCACCGGCUAAAUACGUG